AGAGCGAACGCUGGCGGCAGGCCUAACACAUGCAAGUCGAGCGCGUGUAGCAAUACACGAGCGGCAGACGGGGGAGUAACACGUGGGAACGCGCCCUUUGGUUCGGAAUAACUCAGGGAAACUUGAGCUAAUACCGGAUAAGCCCUUACGGGGAAAGAUUUAUCGCCAAAGGAACGGCCCGCGUCCGAUUAGCUAGUUGGUGAGGUAACGGCUCACCAAGGCGACGAUCGGUAGCUGGUCUGAGAGGAUGACCAGCCUCACUGGGACUGAGACACGGCCCAGACUCCUACGGGAGGCAGCAGUGGGGAAUAUUGGACAAUGGGCGCAAGCCUGAUCCAGCCAUGCCGCGUGGAUGAUGAAGGCCUUAGGGUUGUAAAGUCCUUUUAACGGGGAAGAUAAUGACGGUACCCGUAGAAUAAGCCCCGGCUAACUUCGUGCCAGCAACCGC
rnacentral:rRNA from 1 species